UCAGCAUCACAAGUCUAACUGGUGUAUCGUUUCAUUAAAUUUGCGUUCCCAUUCGAUUGUACUUUUUUCAACUGCCCACAUUUCAUUGACAUAUCAGACAAAAUCUCUUUUUUCUCCAUCCGGAACGUGUGAAUUUCAAAUGAAACCACAUCUAUUCGAGACGUAUCGAUUUGGUGGACGGAGAUGUGAAAGAUGGGCGUUUCCGGCUUUACAAUGGAAAUUUUCUCUGAACGUUUGCAUACAGAGCUCCACAGAUGGGCGGGGAUGAUACGAACGGGCGGCGGCGACCGUUGGCGGCGACUCCUUGACAAAUACUCCGAUCGCCGCCCAUUCUGUACAAGACAUCAAACGCUGCUGUAGUUUUUUUUUUCAAUGCUUAAUUUACGGGAAAAGAAAAACCAACAGUCGAGGCUAUUCCUUUGAAAUUGUAGAAACACGGAAGAAAAAAAGGAGAAAAACAAAUAUUCCAAGGCAAUUCGUGACGAGUCAUUAUUAUUAUUUUCCACAUCCUAGUCAAUCUCUUCAUUUCAGAAUUGAUGAACGCUUACUUUUUGUUUUUUUCGGUGCUUGUGGUCAAAGGAUUCAUGUUUUUCUUUUUCGGAGAAAAAUCGGGUUGGAA